GAGGUGGGGGGCGGAGCCCUAGAGGAGGGCCAGGUCCAGGAAGGCCUGGUUAAGGGAACAAAAGGCGGCGGUGGAGAGCUAGGAGUAGGUAGGAAGGGUGUCGGUAAGGAGUACGUUGGCUCGAGGAGAGUAAGGGGUACCUGUGCAGGCCGGAGGUCGAUGGAAGCAGGUUGCUGCCGGUCCUCGGGGCGCUCGUCGUUGAGACGGGCUCGGCGAGUACACGCGGAGGGACGUGCUCGAGGAGCUGGAGCGGCGGUCGUCAUCGUCGUCGACGUGGGAGAGCCGCGGCGGCCGUGGUGCAGCUGGGGCGGCCUCGACGCAGUUGGGCCGCUGGGGGUUCUCGAGAGGCAGAACCAGACUCGAGAGAGAGCUCCAGGGCAGCGUCAGCAGGAGAUGUCGGCGACGAGGCGGCGGAACGGGCGACCAGCGGCCGUCGGCGGAAGCAGGCGCCGGUGUCUUCGGUCGUUGUCGCGAUGGGGCAGGCUCGAUGAAGCGGGCUCGUGGGUACCUCUCCCGGAGGGCUCGGAGGAGCACGCCGAGGUGGAGCUCGAAGGGGCGGGGCCUAGGUCGGCGGGGACGAAGGGUAGCGCGGAGGGGCGGAACCUAGGCCAGCAGGGGCGCUGCAGGGACGGCGGUUCAGGUGCGGUGCCGGAGACGAAGGAGAAGUAGCUCGUCCUCGAGACGAACUGGGCGCACGAACCUCUAGCUCGUCGACGCGAGCAAGAGCUCUCGCAACUGAUCCGGGUCGGUGUUCGGGGCGCCGGGUCGAGGGUGGAGUGGCUGGCCCGGCUUUGGGUACCAAGGCCAAUACAACGCUAACACUCCUAAGCAAGUCAAUACAACCAAGCAGAUGAAGUACCUAAGCCAGAAGAAGGAUCGCCUUAAAGUCCGUUCUACUGGCAGUGGAACCUAGAGUGAUGAUAGAAACGAUACGAUCAACAGAACUACAACAGCGAUACAGCGCGAUGGGUGGUGAACAAAUAGUUCGGAGGGUUUAACGGGACUAUCGGAGAUUGGAAAAGGUGGUAGGAUCGUUUGGUAACAAACCGAUACAAUGGCGAAACGAGUCGGGGAGAAUAUCGCAACGAUCAACAUCCACGUCAACGUCCAACAAGGUACAACCCUGUACCUAUAGUACCCUAUAGUGUUAUAGAGAAUAAAUUAAUUGCGUAGAUAUAUGAACCAUUUCCCACCUUCCGAGCCGGAAAACGGACCACAAAACAAGGUGAAAACAGCAGAAUCAAAAGCAGUAUGGCCACAAUACAAGGAACUAAAACGCAGGGAUUGUGCUACUCCCAAAUACCCGAGGAGAACUGUCAAGCGAAACUUAUUUUGAGAAGGUCGUUCCGGGUUGUAACCAAAAUGGUAAAGGGGUUGUAUUAUUGAUUUGAACUAUUAAUUAAUUAAUCGUAUCCCCCAGCGCAGGGGUUCCUAAGAAAGUUGUAUUAUGUCCCCCGGGUCACGACUACCACAACCAGGGUUUUGUCUCGGUGAACACCACGGCGGGGAAGUGGACCCCAUAAACCAACGGCAUGCAUCACAAGUAGGCCUGCACCGGACUCUGCUCUAUGUGCACCGAUGAUAGUCCCACAGCCGUGCGGCCCUCCAGAACGACCUGAACAAAAUGGUAACAGCUUUACAGAACACGUGGUCCUAGGGCUCAGACUAGCCUACAGGGCGCUACCUCCUAACAGAGGCACCUAGUACUCGAACAGUACCCGAUUCAACCUUGUGGGGACGUCCUAAAUUUGAAAGCUCUCGGCACAGGGGCCAAUACACCGUCUACCCUUAAAAAUUAUAGGCCAACAUCUCUUGAACUGUGGUCUAGGCUUAAUUUUAUGUGGUUGGCGCACGCAUUGGCACUGGCAUAGAAAAGCUCACUCAAGCUCUUCUCUUGUGCCACCCCAAUACAAACUGAGCAUUCAUCAAGUCCUAGUGAAUAACUAGUAAUGAUCAAGUGCUGGCAAUACGCAUCAUUGAGAAGAAUGAGAACAUGAGCAUUCAAUCGGUGGUAUGUUUACGAAUCACGAACGAUGUUGGAGUGGUGAUAGGUAAGGUAUGGGUAAUUCGAAACCAUCAGAACUAUGGGUACCAUUACCCUAACGACUCAGGAGCACCGAGUGUAUAAUGAUGUUGUUGUCAACGUCCAUGCCCAUUACGCUACUAGACUGCACUCCACUACGAACUAACGAAAACCUCAAGAAGAAGAAGUUAGUUCCCUAAUCCAAGGCCCAGCCCCUCGGACCCUAAUCGUCCCACCUACAGCAAGAAGAAAAAACAAACUAAAGUAGGCAUCAGCCUAGGACGAGAAGACAUACUACUAACGAUACUUAACUACAUAACUACAUAAGUACAACACCGAACACCUCUCACAUUCAGAAAUAGAACAUAAGAGUAGAUAAGUCAUGUACCAUACAACAUUACUAUAGGUGGAACGAUACGCGAGUUUUACGCCAACACGGGUCUAGUACUUAAGUAGUGCACUAACCCUAUCUUAGCGUAGAACCCGCGCUGUCUAUCGAGGGUUGCCAAGUGAGGAGAGCAAGAGCGGUAUGGCGAGGACAAAGGAACCUUGGUUGAUCUUUAGGGACGGUUGUUCGAAACUUUGACUGUUUUCGAGAGGAUUUAGUAAGCAAGAGGUAACAGAACGGAGGGCGAAACACAG
rnacentral:rRNA from 1 species